UGUGACAUCAGCGGUCAUGGAGAGUCUCCAUCCAGCUGGAUCACUGUCACAGUCUUUCUUGUGGUUCUACUGGUGUUACUGGUUCUGCUGGUGAGAGAAGAUGUUGAGAGGAAACUUGAAGAGACUGAUACAGCUGUGGUCUACUCAGCAGUGAGAGCUGAAGACAUCAGGAAUGGACAAACAACCAUCAGAACAAGGCGAUCCAGGUCUAGCUGCCUUUUAACAGAAACAAGACUUUAAACCAGAGCCAGACGUCGUCUACUCUUCACUGAAGUAGUCCACCAGUCCAACCACUGACGUCCAGCUGCUGGUCUCUAACUGGUCCCCCCAGCACCUCAGACCAGAG